UGAGGCUGGAAGUGGGAGGAACCCAUCAAAGACGUUAUAAGCAGCCGGGCAGUGGUCAGUCCUCACUUUCCGGCAUCAUGGACUCUUCAGAUUCUGACAAGGAAAAGAAAGUGAAGUCCUGUGAAGCAAAAAAGGAUAAAGGGAAGUGCGAGAAAAAGAGUGGUUCAUCAAGCUCCAGCAGCUCAAGCUCUUCAGACGAUGAGGGGAAAGGAAAGUGUGAAGGAAAGAAGAAAGAAAAGAAACAUAAGAAAAAGAAACAUCACUGCAAGUAAUGGAAACCAAGCUGUUGAAGUAGCAACUGACUUUAAUGCUUAUUCUUAUACCUUGCAUCUUGGAUUCCAAGGGGUACUUUCAUUUUUAGAUUAAGCAUAUCCCUCUAUUAGUUCCUUGCAGUUCAAUUUAUUUCAUCCAGGUUUCUGGACAACUCUUCAUGUUGUUCAUGGGUUGUUAAGCAGGCUCUUUAUAUGCAUAAGUCUUUAAAGUAGUUUUGUUAACUGUUAAUUUCCUAUAAAUGUAGAAAGCCAUAUUAUAGCCUCUUGAGGACUAAGCAGAAUUAGAUUUUGGACUGAAGUUAAAGCAAAGUCAACUUUUCUAAUGCCUUGGAGAGAUGUUAAAAUUUCAAACUUUAAUUCUUCAGAUUGAACUGUUUGUCUUGGCUUAGCUUCACUUUUGGUUUUUAAUCCAGGCCAAUGCAAAUAAAUUUGGAAGAAAGACCAAGCUAAGAAGUGACAGUACUAAAUGAUUAUUUUGAUUAGAAAGCAAAGAGCUGACACAAGAAGAAAUAGUGGGAAAUGGUAGCAAAGAUUUCUUAUAGAAAGCAAUAUUAUUAACCACUUCAGUAACUGCUUCAAUAUGCAUGACCAAAAUAAACUUGUUUGGAUCUAUGUUACUACAAUAAACUUUACAAAUUAAAAAUAA